GUUGAUAUUAUCACAACCUGGAUGGUUUGGGCUAUGGAAUGGAGGCAAUGAUUAUAUUCUCAAAGACGAUUGGGAAAGAGGGAACAGAUAAGGAGCCCAAACCAUUAGUUUAUAUAUAGCCUAGUGUUUAGCACUCAGCUCCAUCCUUUGCAUUAACCCCAGGUCUCCCUCCAUCUAUAAGAGUGCCAUGUCAUCAGCUGCCCUGCAGGAAGCUGGUCUGGGUGGCAGGACUCCCAUCUUGUCUGGGGAAGCCAAGCUGCUUGCUGGGGAGUAAUCCCCUCAGGAG